AAAAUAUCAAAAGAGCUCCAAAUCUCUUCCUUUCCCGUGACCGUAAGCGGCGGUUGUCGGCCUCGUCUAUUCCGCCGUCGGCCUCAUCGUCAACCGGCCGGUGAAGCUUUCGCCAUCCACGAUUCAAGCUUUUCGCUGAUUUUGGUACGAUGUGAAUAUAUGGCCUCCAUCCUUCGUUUUUCCUCCAUCAUCGACGUCGUCAGGUAGUUGCCGGCCAGAUGUCUUCUAUUCUUAGCGUCAACAUCAGAUCAUCGGAAUCUGCAAGAAUAAGGUAAAGAUGGCACCUCUAUAUUUCAUGGUCGUUUAAUUAGAAUCUGACCCCCUUCCUCUAUUUUGGAUAUGAAAAUGGCGAGAGGAGCAAGAUCCGUAGGACUAAAAGCCAUCGCCGGUCGGAUCGUAUGGUUGCCGAACAUACUACUCUUUGAAUGAAGGUUAACAUCCCCCAACCUUUUUGUAUUUCUACUUUUGGGUUGAAAGCGUCAAUAUGCUAGUAUUACUACCCCUAAAUGAUUGAGAUAGUUUUAAGAAAAUCCCAUGAUUUGGAAAUUUUCUGCUGAUUAUGUAGUUUUGCAACAAUAUGGAUUAACAUUUGCAAACAACGAUAGUUUAAAGCAAAACAAAACAGAACAUUCCGAGAUAUUAAUGUAUAUGAUGGACGUGUUAGAUACUCAUAGCCAAGUAUAGGAUUUGUUAGAACACAAUUAUAGGUUAGUUUGAACAUAACAUUGUAUAUGUUAGUCUGCAUAAACUAAAAGAUCAAAACAGAAACAAUAGUUAGUGUUCGUGUUAGUAUACACAUAGAUUAGCAAAGUUAAUACACAAUUAUUGGAUUUGAUCGAUAUCUAUAAAACUAGGUUCCUCAUAUACAAGAAUAUCGAUAAAAAUAAUUAAACUUCGAAACACAAGGUUUCCAAAUUCAAACAGUUUUAUGGAUUUCCGACAUAUACGUGAAAGCCUACACUGCUCAUGAUGUGGUUAUUUUACUACUAACUUCUUGUUGUUUUUCUGGUUUCUUGACAGGGUAGAAAAGAGGAAGCUUAUGAAAAGUGAGCAAUUUAGAAGAUGGAGAUAAGUUUAGAUGGCAAGUUUUUGAGAGUUUGAGAGUGCUGCUCUUAAAAUGUUUUUCUUGGGUGAGAGAGGGAGGCUUUUUGAGGGUGUAGGAGAGUUUCUUUAGAGGGGUCGAGAGCAAGGGCUUUGGUAUUUUAUUUAUAGGAAAGGGAUUACUUACUUAUGAAAAUUUUUAUUUUAUUUAUUAUUUAUUUUCGUCACUUUAUUUUAAUUAAAAUAUAAAUAUGUCAAAUG
rnacentral:lncRNA from 1 species